UGGGUGAUCUGCCCUGCACUCUGGGAUAAGCUUGGGAAACUGGGUCUAAUACUGGAUAUGACUGCAGCAUGCAUGUGUUGUGGUGGAAAGAUUUAUCGGUGCAGGAUGGGCCCGCGGCCUAUCAGCUUGUUGGUGGGGUAAUGGCCUACCAAGGCGACGACGGGUAGCCGACCUGAGAGGGUGACCGGCCACACUGGGACUGAGACACGGCCCAGAUCCGUACGGGG
rnacentral:rRNA from 1 species